rnacentral:rRNA from 1 species
CACGUAGAGGGCAAGCGUUGUCCGGAUUCAUUGGGCGUAAAGAGCUCGUAGGCGGCUCAGUAAGUCGGGUGUGAAACCCUCAGGCUCAACCUGGGGACGCCACUCGAUACUGCUGUGGCUAGAGUCCAGUAGAGGAGUGUGGAAUUCCCGGUGUAGCGGUGAAAUGCGCAGAUAUCGGGAGGAACACCAACGGCGAAGGCAGCACUCUGGGCUGGAACUGACGCUGAGGAGCGAAAGCGUGGGUAGCAAACAGG